ensembl:snoRNA
CUGCAUCCACUGACAGACCUUAGAUAAUUCGUGACUGCUCUUCUGGUUUGCACUAGGAUAUAAAAGAACAUGCUCCCUGUGCUUUCUGCCUGUCUUUGUGGUCAAGACUGAAGUGAGAAGUACAUCU